AGAGUUUGAUCCUGGCUCAGAACGAACGCUGGCGGCAGGCCUAACACAUGCAAGUCGAACGGGGACCUUCGGGUCUUACGUGGCGCACGGGUGAGUAACGCGUGGGAAUCCACCCCAAAGUCGGGGAUAACCGCUGGAAACGGCGGCUAAUACCGGAUACGCCCUGAGGGGCAAAGCUUUAGCGCUUUGGGACGAGCCCGCGUCCGAUUAGCUAGUUGGUGGGGUAAAGGCCUACCAAGGCUGCGAUCGGUAGCUGGUCUGAGAGGAUGAUCAGCCACACUGGGACUGAGACACGGCCCAGACUCCUACGGGAGGCAGCAGUGGGGAAUCUUGGACAAUGGGGGCAACCCUGAUCCAGCCAUGCCGCGUGGGUGAAGAAGGCCUUAGGGUUGUAAAGCCCUUUCGGCGGGGAAGAUGAUGACGGUACCCGCAGAAGAAGCCCCGGCUAACUCCGUGCCAGCAGCCGCGGUAAUACGGAGGGGGCUAGCGUUGUUCGGAAUCACUGGGCGUAAAGGGCGCGUAGGCGGACCACCAAGUCAGGGGUGAAAGCCCUGGGCUCAACCUAGGAAGUGCCCUUGAAACUGAUGGUCUUGAGUCCGGGAGAGGAGAGCGGAAUUCCCAGUGUAGAGGUGAAAUUCGUAGAUAUUGGGAAGAACACCGGUGGCGA
rnacentral:rRNA from 1 species